ensembl:lincRNA
CCCUGUGUGGAUACCCAACCAACGUGUUCAUUAUGUAGCAGGCCCAACCUGCCAUUUUUUCCCCUCUAGGAUUCUGUGACAUUGGGAGAUGUCAGCCUUUCUGAGUGCACACUUCUCCUGAGGACAGCUGGUCCCACAAAUUGCUGUAAUUGCUGUAUUGAGAUUUGCCUCAGCCCGUGCCUUCUCUAGGAUGCCUGUGGGGAUGGACCCAAGACCCUGCAGUGAAUUUCUCAGUGCUCGGAAUUCCCUCUGCUCACCUCCCCAUCAUCAUUGCAGGAACUGCACACUGCAUAUGAGACACCGUGGUUUCUGUUGCACAGUGGAAGACCCCGUGGCAAGGCUCCAGCCUUCCCAAAUGGAUUCCUCUCAGCACAGCCUGGCUCUAUAGAACCAAGGCAUCAGCUAGGCUGGGAGCCUCACUCAAGAGGACCUGCCAUCAGCAAGAAGAGCCUGUGUCACAGACCGAGGUCCUCCAGGGACUCAGAAGCCCGGGUCCUCCAGGACUUGGCCUGAGGCACCUUUGCCUCUAUCUGCCCAGAGGCCUUCUCCCUCUCCGCUCUCCUCCUGCCAGCUCUGGUGGGACCUGGCACAGAUUCAUCCUGCAGUCUGGAGUCAGAUCUCAAAAAACUGCCUUCCUGGGGAGACAAGCACCUGAGAACCGACGAGCCACCUUUUCCAACAGUCAUGUUGUUCUCCGAGAUCUUAAUCUCUCCUGGCCAGCUAUGCUGGAAAAAGCUUCUAGGCGAAACUCGAUCUUUCUGAGCAAAGCUGGGGCUGUCCUUCCGCCUAUUCGUCUAUGCCAAAGGUGUGCUUUGCCUGGGGAGAAGCACCUCCUUGUGGUGGUGGUCAGCCUACAGCUACCCAAAGCUCACAGAAUCGGUGUGAGUCCUCAUUUCCUCUGCCUGUGGGGAGUGCCCGGCUGACCCUGGGCAUGAGGAUUCAGUGAGGGCCUCCCAGCUGCCCUUUGCUUGGAGGAGGAUGUGGGGGGGGGGGGGGGGGGGGGGGGUGGGGAGAGGGAAGAAGCUUGUAGUUCUACAUUGGCAGCAGCUUUCCAGGCAAGUAGGUCACUGUGUGAUCUUGGCCAUGCUUUCUAAUGGUCUAAGGCCUUAGUAUAGGUGUCUGUAAUCUGCUGUCAGAACUGCUGGGGCCAACGCCAAGAUACCUGCUAACCAAAGGGCUUUGGGCAAGAACUCCAGGAGCUUCAGCUAGCCAUUCAAUCACUCAUUGUCUGGCGGGGCAUGUGGCUUAGUUGAUAGAGUGUUUGCUUGAUGUUCAAGAAGCCCGGUUUGAUCCCCAGGACCUCAUAGAUCAGGCAUUGUAGUGCACACCUAUAAUCCUAGGACUUGGGAGGCAGGAGAAUCAGGAGUUCAAGAUUAUCUUCUGCUGCAUAGCAGUUCUGAGACCAUCCCACAAUAAAACCAACUCAAAAACCCACCACUGAUUCCAACAACAAACAAGAACUCUUGCUAAGAGCCCUAACUUACUUUGUAUGUGACACUGACUUUGGCAUAGCCAUACCCCUCUCUGGGUCUUGUUUCUUUUUUGGAGGGGGUUCCUGUGAAUUGCUUAGGUUGCUCUUGAACUCAUAGGUUCAUCAUCUUUAUAUUAUAUUAUACAUUCAUUGUACUAAUUUGCUAGUUUUUAUGAGAUGGAUUUUUUUGGGGGGGGGGGUUGGUUUUACAAGACAGAGUUUCUCUGUGUAGCCCUGGCAGUAGUGGAACUCACUCUGUAGACCAGGUUGGCCUCUAACUCAGAGAUCCAUCUGCCUCUGCCUCCCAAGUGCUGGGAUUUAAAGUCGUGUACCACCACCACCUGACAGGGCAGUUUUACUCUAUAGCCCAGGCUGUCCUUAAACUUGUGGUAAUUUUCCCGCUUCAGCCUCCUGAAUGCCAGGGUUACAGGUGUGAACCACCACACCCACUUUCAAGUCAGUCACCUCAGCCUCUGCAGGAGUUGGGCUAACAGAUACACACUAACACAUCAUUUGAAGCUCACAAGUCAAUGGGCUUUGCUAAACGCAUAUCUAAUAUUUUGAUCUCCCCAGAAAGUUCUCCUGUGCUCCUGUCAGUCAUUACCUCCCCCCACCACUUCUCUUGUGCUUUCCAGCCUGUGGCAGAUACUCCUGUGCUAGUGUCCAGGUAAGCUCUUCUGGAUCUGCCUACUCUCUUUCAGUGCUCAUGACACACAUUGUUGGUAUAUCAGCCACUUGUAUCUUUUUUUUUUUUUAAUGGUUUUUCGAGACAGGGUUUCUCUGUAUUGUUUUGGAGCCUGUCCUGGAACUUGCUCUGUAGACCAGGCUGGCCUUGAACUCACAGAGAUCCACCUGCCUCUGUAUCCCAAGUGCUGGGAUUAAAGGCAUGCGCCACCAAUGCCCGGCCAGCCAUUUUUAUCUUGCCGUGUCGUCAGUGUUCACUCAUGGGUAGAACCUCAGGUUGGAUGGUUGGGCUGUUUCUGCCUCUCUUUCUAUCUUUUGGCUGUUAUGGAUAAAGGUUCUGCAUAUCUCUCUGUGUGAAUUUUGAUUGACUGUAAGAUGUUAUUCUCUGGGGUACAUAACAGUGAUGGCAACUGCUCAGAUAUAUGUUACAUACUCACCUAAUUUUAUUUUAUUUUUAUUUAUUGUGUGUGUGCCAUGGUAUGCAUAUGGAGGUCAGAGGACAGCUUGUGGGUCUCUGGUCUCUCCUCUUAGCAUGUGGGUUCUGGGGAUAGAACUCAGAUCAUCAGGCUUGGUGGCAGGUGCCUUUACAUACUCAGCCACCUCACUAGUUCUGUGACUAACUUUAAAGGAAACAGUGGCACUGUUUUCUACAAUCCCGUGCCCUGUGCAUUCCUGGAGGCUAUGCGCACUCUGCUUGCUCCACACCAUUGUCGGUACCUCAUGUUGUUUGUUGGUCUUCCUUCAUCCUUCAGCAUCCAUCACCCCAGAGUCCCAGGUCUUCCACAGCUUCUCAUCUCCCCUCUUAUCUCAUUCCCAGGCUAGCUUCUGAGGCCUGGCUUUACCCUGGGCACGAUGCCAGGCAUCUAAGAUCUGAAAACUCCAGUGUCAACUUGGCUUUGAUGCCUGGCCCAAGAGAACAGUUCAAAUGGAGCCUUUUAAUUCACCAAAGCAGACAGACCAGGCCUUUCAGAAUCUCUCAGGGCUGCAUCUCUCAGGGCCAAGAACUUCACUUUGCUUUUGUUCAUGGCCACUUUCUCCUUAAGAUUUGUUGUUCUUAUGUGUAUGCAUAUGGUGUGUGUGUAGGGGUGUGUGGGCUGGACAGAGGGCAGAGGACAUCAUUU